AAACAACUCUCAGCAACGGAUAUCUUGGCUCUUGCAACGAUUGAAGAAGCAGCGAAAUGCGAUACGUAGUGUGAAUUGCAGAAUUCCGCGAAUCAUCGAGUCUUUGAACGCAAGUUGCGCCCGAGGCUUGUCCAAGGGCAUUUCCGCUAGAGCGUCACC
rnacentral:rRNA from 1 species